AGAUUAGCUUGCUUAAAUUGUCAGCUAAGUGGCGCACGGGUGAGUAAUGUAUAGGUAAUAUGCCUCUUACUAAGGGAUAACAAAUGGAAACGUUUGCUAAUACCUUAUACUCCUUAUUAACAGAAGUUAAUAAGGGAAAGAUUUAUUGGUAAGAGAUUAGCCUGUAUUGUAUCAGUUAGUUGGUGGGGUAAUGGCUUACCAAGACUAUGACACGUAACUGGUUUGAGAGGAUGAUCAGUCACACUGGAACUGAGACACGGUCCAGACUCCUACGGGAGGCAGCAGUGGGGAAUAUUGCACAAUGGACGGAAGUCUGAUGCAGCAACGCCGCGUGGAGGAUGACACAUUUCGGUGCGUAAACUCCUUUUAUAUGAGAAGAUAAUGACGGUAUUAUAUGAAUAAGCACCGGCUAACUCCGUGCCAGCAGCCGCGGUAAUACGGGGGGUGCAAGCGUUACUCGGAAUCACUGGGCGUAAAGAGCAUGUAGGCGGAUUAAUAGGUUUGAAGUGAAAUCCUAUAGCUUAACUAUAGAACUGCUUUGAAAACUGUUAAUCUAGAAUGUGGGAGAGGUAGAUGGAAUUUCUGGUGUAGGGGGU
rnacentral:rRNA from 1 species